rnacentral:rRNA from 1 species
GAGUAAAGCAGCGAUGCGCUUAGGGAUGGGCCUGCGGCGGAUUAGGUAGUUGGUGGGGUAACGGCCUACCAAGCCGAUGAUCCGUAGGGGGCGUGAGAGCGUGGCCCCCCACACUGGCACUGAGACACGGGCCAGACUCCUACGGGAGGCAGCAGUGAGGAAUAUUGCACAAUGGGCGCAAGCCUGAUGCAGCAACGCCGCGUGAGGGACGAAGGCCUUCGGGUUGUAAACCUCUUUUCUGAGGGACGAGGAAGGACGGUACCUCAGGAAUAAGUCUCGGCUAACUACGUGCCAGCAGCCGCGGUAAAACGUAGGAGGCGAGCGUUAUCCGGAUUUACUGGGCGUAAAGCGCGCGCAGGUGGCUUCGUGAGUCGGACAUGAAAGCUCCUGGCUUAACUGGGAGAGGCUGUUCGAUACUGCGGGGCUUGAGGUUGGGAGAGGGACGCGGAAUUCCCGGUGUAGUGGUGGAAUGCGUAGAUAUCGGGAGGAACACCAGUGGCGCAAGCGGCGUCCUGGCCCACACCUGACGCUGAGGUGCGAAAGCGUGGGUAGCAAACAGGAUUAGAUACCCUGGUAGUCCACGCUGUAAACGAUGUCAACUGGGUGUCGGUAGUUUUACACUAUCGGUGCCGAAGCUAACGCG